GGCGAUAGAGACCUAACCAAGUCAUGAACUUGGAGGAUGAAAAGGCAAGAGGAUGGUAUCCUAAGGGAGUCUCAUAAUCAACGCUGUCUUUGAAAGGUCAGAUGACCUAUAUUUUUACAGUGAACUGUACCUAAUGUAGAUUCAACAAUAAUUUAUGGACUUUCUUCUAGGAAGCAGAAAGAACUUGGCCAAUGCUGCCCCAGUUUCAACUCUCAUUUGGAGCUUCUAAUCUGCUCGUUCACUAGAGGACAAUUAUAACCCUGAUGUUUGGAAUCAAGGAUGACAUAUGAUUAUAGGUUUUUCAUACAACAGUGGGAGAGAAGUCAUAUGCAUCACUGUGUUCAGGAGAGAGAAUAUAACUUAGAAAUGAGCAUAAACAUAUCCAGGACAUUGCUUUAUGUGAACAUAAAGGAGGCAUUUGAGGACAGCUGUGAGCACUGAACAGCACGCUCAGCCUUUUGAAUGUCCCUGACCUACUGAGUGCUGAAGUUU